AGUGAACGCUGGCGGUAGGCCUAACACAUGCAAGUCGAACGGCAGCACAGUAAGAGCUUGCUCUUACGGGUGGCGAGUGGCGGACGGGUGAGGAAUACAUCGGAAUCUACUUUUUCGUGGGGGAUAACGUAGGGAAACUUACGCUAAUACCGCAUACGACCUACGGGUGAAAGCAGGGGAUCUUCGGACCUUGCGCGAUUGAAUGAGCCGAUGUCGGAUUAGCUAGUUGGCGGGGUAAAGGCCCACCAGGGCGACGAUCCGUAGCUGGUCUGAGAGGAUGAUCAGCCACACUGGAACUGAGACACGGUCCAGACUCCUACGGGAGGCAGCAGUGGGGAAUAUUGGACAAUGGGCGCAAGCCUGAUCCAGCCAUACCGCGUGGGUGAAGAAGGCCUUCGGGUUGUAAAGCCCCUUUGUUGGGAAAGAAAAGCAGCAGGUUAAUACCCCGCUGUUCUGACGGUACCCAAAGAAUAAGCACCGGCUAACUUCGUG
rnacentral:rRNA from 1 species